rnacentral:rRNA from 1 species
GACGAACGCUGGCGGCGUGCUUAACACAUGCAAGUCGAACGGAAAGGCCCUGCUUUUGUGGGGUGCUCGAGUGGCGAACGGGUGAGUAACACGUGAGUAACCUGCCCUUGACUUUGGGAUAACUUCAGGAAACUGGGGCUAAUACCGGAUAGGAGCUCCUGCUGCAUGGUGGGGGUUGGAAAGUUUCGGCGGUUGGGGAUGGACUCGCGGCUUAUCAGCUUGUUGGUGAGGUAGUGGCUUACCAAGGCUUUGACGGGUAGCCGGCCUGAGAGGGUGACCGGACACAUUGGGACUGAGAUACGGCCCAGACUCCUACGGGAGGCAGCAGUGGGGAAUAUUGCACAAUGGGCGGAAGCCUGGUGCAGCAACGCCGCGUGCGGGAUGACGGCCUUCGGGUUGUAAACCGCUUUCGCCUGUGACGAAGCGAGAGUGACGGUAAUGGGUAAAGAAGCACCGGCUAACUACGUG